rnacentral:rRNA from 1 species
ACUCCUACGGGAGGCUGCAGUGGGGAAUUUUCCGCAAUGGGCGCAAGCCUGACGGAGCAAUACCGCGUGAGGGAGGAAGGCUCUUGGGUCGUAAACCUCUUUUCUCAGGGAAGAACAAAAUGACGGUACCUGAGGAAUCAGCAUCGGCUAACUCCGUGCCAGCAGCCGCGGUAAUACGGAGGAUGCAAGCGUUAUCCGGAAUGAUUGGGCGUAAAGCGUCCGUAGGUGGUUAUGUAAGUCUGUGGUUAAAGCGUGGGGCUCAACCCCAUAAGGGCCAUGGAAACUACAAGACUUGAGUAAAGUAGGGGUAGAGGGAAUUCCCAGUGUAGCGGUGAAAUGCGUAGAGAUUGGGAAGAACACCGGUGGCGAAAGCGCUCUACUGGACUUAAACUGACACUGAGGGACGAAAGCUAGGGGAGCGAAAGGGAUUAGAUACCCCUGUAGUCCUAGCCGUAAACGAUGGAUACUAGGUGUUGCCCGUAUCGACCCGGGCAGUGCCGUAGCUAAUGCGUUAAGUAUCCCGCCUGGGGAGUACGCACGCAAGUGUGAAACUCAAAGGAAUUGACGGGGGCCCGCACAAGCGGUGGAGUAUGUGGUUUAAUUCGAUGCAACGCGAAGAACCUUACCAGGGCUUGACAUGUCUAGAAUUCUUGCGAAAGU